GAAAAAAAAAUUAGUGGGCAAAAGUGUGGCUGCCUUAGUCUUGGAGAGGUGGAGAAUAACGCCUUUUCCAUAGGAAGAGUGAGAUUUUGAGAGUGUUCAUUAAGCUACAGAGGAGGACAAGAGAUGGGGGGCUCUUGAUAGUCCAGAAGGAUGCUGUGGUGGGUACAAGAGGCAAUACCUUGCAGUUGUCGUCCUGGUACCCUUCAGUCCUGAUCUGCAAAGUCGCACGAAUACUGCAAGAGGGAGCAACGCCCUAGUGCAAAGCUGUCCAUGGCUGCAUUGCCUUCAUCUCCCUUUCCUCAGUAUCAGCAGCACUGUCCCUGCUGCACCCCAAAACGGGCCAGGCCUGGGUAGCUCAUGCUCCUUCCACGCUGCGGUUCCCAUCAGAGGGAUUUAAGCUCACACUUAAGCGCGCAGCGUAACCGAGAGCCACCGCAGCCGGAGUGCCACCGCACCAGGCAAGGACCACGUUGUCUUUCUGCUCCGAGGAGGAGGAGAUGGGUCAUCCCCGAUGUUUGGCGGAGCAAACAGCAUCGCAGCACGGCGGCAUUUGAGGCUGUUUUCAUCUUGCUGGCAGGCUGAUGCUUCUCCCAAGGAAAAGCUCAGCCAUGCUGGUGCCUCACACAGAGGUCGCAUCCAGCCCCCUCCCCGUCCCAUAACAGCCAGCACAAAGGGAAAAACCCAUGGGCAGCCCCAGCGCACGCAGCACUGCCUGCCUUGGGUAGUCAAACACAUGAGGCUGGGGGGGUUGGCUGUGAAAAUGAGGGCUCUUCUCCGGAUUGCAUUUUCUAUUUGCACUCAGAGCAUUGAGCAGUGUUGUCUCCUGUUCUCCUCUUUGCAGGAAGCAGCUAAAAGCUCAUUUUUCCAGAAAAGAAAGGUGAAAGUCUGAGGAAAUCAUGCAGCUUCAUAAGGUGGGCUUGAAGAAAACCUUCAGAUGCAUAAAAAAAAAAACAAACCACA